rnacentral:rRNA from 1 species
UACAGAGGGUGCGAGCGUUGUCCGGAAUCACUGGGCGUAAAGGGCGCGUAGGUGGCGCGACAAGUCAGUGGUGAAAGUUCGACGCUCAACGUCGAAUCGGCCACUGAUACUGUUGGGCUUUGAGCACUGUAGAGGCUAAUGGAAUUCCGGGUGUAGCGGUGGAAUGCGUAGAGAUCCGGAAGAACACCGGUGGCGAAGGCGGUUAGCUGGGGCAGUUGCUGACACUGAGGCGCGACAGCGUGGGGGAGCAAAACAGGG